rnacentral:rRNA from 1 species
UACGUAGGGUGCAAGCGUUGUUCGGAAUCAUUGGGCGUAAAGCGCGUGUAGGUGGCUAGUUAAGUUGGGUGUGAAAUCCCUGGGCUCAACCGAGGAAGUGCACUCAAAACUGGCUGGCUAGAAGAUGGUAGAGGAAGGUGGAAUUCCAAGUGUAGAGGUGAAAUUCGUAGAUAUUUGGAGGAAUACCGGCGGCGAAGGCGGCCUUCUGGGCCAUUCUUGACACUGAGACGCGAAAGCGUGGGUAGCAAACAGG